UACGGAGGAUCCGAGCGUUAUCCGGAUUUAUUGGGUUUAAGGGGUGCGCAGGCGGAAGAUUAAGUCGGUGGUGAAAUUUUGCAGCUCAACUGUAAAAGUGCCAUUGAUACUGGUUUUCUUGAGUGUGGAUGAAGUAGGCGGAAUUUGUGGUGUAGCGGUGAAAUGCAUAGAUAUGACGAGGAACUCCGAUUGCGCAGGCAGCUUACUAAACUACUACUGACGCUCAGGCACGAAGGCGUGGGGAUCAAACAGGAUUAGAUACCCCU
rnacentral:rRNA from 1 species